AGGUGAUUAUAGCGAUGGGGCUCACCUCUUACCAUUCCGAACAGAGAAGUUAAGCCCAUUAGCGCCGAUGGUACUGCCACAGGUGGGAGAGUAGGUCGUUGCCUU
rnacentral:rRNA from 1 species